ACGGGCGCCCACCUCCCACCCGUGACUACCUAACACUGUUGCUUCGGCGGGGAGCCCUCUCGGGGGCGAGCCGCCGGGGACUACUGAACUUCAUGCCUGAGAGUGAUGCAGUCUGAGUCUGAAUAUAAAAUCAGUCAAAACUUUCAACAAUGGAUCUCUUGGUUCCGGCAUCGAUGAAGAACGCAGCGAACUGCGAUAAGUAAUGUGAAUUGCAGAAUUCAGUGAAUCAUCGAGUCUUUGAACGCACAUUGCGCCCCCUGGCAUUCCGGGGGGCAUGCCUGUCCGAGCGUCAUUGCUGCCCAUCAAGCCCGGCUUGUGUGUUGGGUCGUCGUCCCCCCCGGGGGACGGGCCCGAAAGGCAGCGGCGGCACCGUGUCCGGUCCUCGAGCGUAUGGGGCUUUGUCACCCGCUCGAUUAGGGCCGGCCGGGCGCCAGCCGACGUCUCCAACCAUUUUCUUCAGGUUGACCUCGGAUCAGGUAGGGAUACCCGCUGAACUUAAGCAUAUCAAUAAGCGGAGGGAAAAGAAA
rnacentral:rRNA from 1 species